UUAAAUAUCCAUGUACUUGGCCAAUGGCAUGAAGUAAUUUGCAGAAUUAUUAAUCAUGGAAUUUAAAACUUACCAAAGAAUUUUUUGUCCUGCUAUCCCUUUUUUUCACCAUAAUAAUCCCUUUUUCUCAAUGCUUCAUUCUCCCAAACUAUCUCCAUUUCCUCGUGCAUUUCCACCGGUUUUGCACAAAGGGACUAGAGAGGAAGAGGUGACUAGAGUGUUGAUGGAUCAAUUUCGGUGGCAUGUCACUCAAAUGCUACUAAUGCAUGCCCUGUAUGCCCAUUGCAGUAUUAAUUGAAGAAGAUGAUGAGGAACAGAAUGAACAGUACUAUCCCCAAGUUAAUAAGUCUUCUCACCUUGAUCAUCAUCUAAUUCCAUCAAGUAAUAUUGAGGUCCCAUGGUAUCAUCAAUUCAUUGUAUUUAGUGAAAGAGUAAAAUGUAUCACACGUCCCUAUUCAAAAAAAGUUACUCCCGCUAGGAUUUAUUUUGCAUGAUCGUCUUUGUAUGAAUGAUACGUUUAAAAGUCGUGUUGGCUUCUGAUGUUAUAUUUGCUUCGUGUCAAUUUAAGUGUCUUAAUUUGACUAAGCAUGAAAUUUAAAAAUGAAGAAAACUAUCAAUUUUGUGAUCUCAAA